CCUGACCCUAGAGGUGUUGCAGGUGUGGCUGCUGUGUCACACGUGUGUCAGUAGGUGGCAGAAAGGAGAGAAGCUAUGUUUCUGAUCAGUGUUCUGACCUAUGAACAUCUAGAUGAUUAGUAGCCUAACAGU